rnacentral:rRNA from 1 species
UACGACUACAUAUCAGGCAUAUCAAUAAGCGGAGGAAAAGAAACUAACAAGGAUUCCCUUAGUAACGGCGAGUGAAGCGGGAAGAGCUCAAAUUUGAAAUCUUCAAGGUUCUACCUUGACGAAUUGUAGUUUAAAGAAGUGUUUUCUGUUGGAGUUUCGGUAAAAGUUCUUUGGAAUAGGACAUCAUAGAGGGUGAGAAUCCCGUAUUUGACCAUUACUUCCAGCGUUGUGAUACACUUUCAACGAGUCGGAUUGUUUGGGAAUGCAGUCCAAAAUGGGUGGUAAAUUUCAUCUAAAGCUAAAUAUUGGCGAGAGACCGAUAGCGAACAAGUACCGUGAGGAAAGAUGAAAAGAACUUUGAAAAGAGAGUUAAACAGUACGUGAAAUUGUCAAAAGGGAAGCGUUUGACACCAGUGUUGUUUUCUCGAAAAUCAAUUAAAGAAUGUUUGAUUUUUGAGUAGUUAUGACCUUAAUCGGCUUGCUCACUUUCUUUCAUGUAACUUUCUUAAUGCACUUUUCGGUUAACAAGUCAACAUCAAUUUCUUUUGUUGUAAAAGAGUCAUUGGAAGGUGGCUUUCACUUCGGUGAAAGUGUUUAUAGCCUUUGACUUCUGCAAUCGGAGAGAUUGAGGUCUGCAGCGUAGAUCCUUCGGGGUUAGAUACAUUUGUGCUAAGUUAUAGUUUUUCAUAGACAACAUGUUGACUAUGAUUAAUCAUGUAGCUUACUCGCUUAUGCUAUUUUACCUACGCUUAGGAUGUUGACGCGCGUGUGUGCGUG